UCUUUUUUUUAGAAAGGCAUAUUCAUCCCUUAACUCCCCCAAACUUAAGAUUUACAAACUCUAAGUUCAAAAAGGGAAUACUCCAAACUCUACGCCCGACUCAACGCGAGGACUCAAGAAAUAAGUUAGUCUAAGUCUUAUCUCUAGAGCAUAAGUGUAAUUACAAUUUUCACACAAGCAGUUUCCAAGUAACAAGGCAUCACAUAUGAUAAAGACUACUAGCCAAGAAAUUAUGCACAUAAACU
rnacentral:lncRNA from 1 species